UGUAAAUUCCACUAAUAUGUUUUUCACUUCAAAUUUGACGGCAUUUUAAUUAAGUUUGGAUCUAAACUACAAAAAGAAGAUAUUACCGACCAUCAAUUCGUUUCUGUUAAUCUUCUUCUUCUUCUUCUUUAUCAUAUUCCUUUUUCCCAUUUGCUCAUUCCUCAAACUCCAAACUGAGUUUUCCACAACGGAUGAUUGCUUUAAUACAAAUCCCAAAGCGCUUAGAGUCUACAGAGUGACCGUAAAAGAGAUCCUAGUUUGUCAUGGCCCAGUCUGGUAGAAAAACCGAAAAACUUGACAUAAAUUGGGAACGAGCAUUUGAUCUUUAUCUAAAUGCAGUCGCAUGUGACAAUGCGCUUUUAUGGGUCCAAGCUACAACUAAGCUUGCCAAAUUGUCGAAACACGCGCCUGAGGAUCUCUUAGCACGCACGAUCCCUGUCCUUGUAGAGCUUCUUAGAAGGAUCCCUUCCACUGAUCUGAGUCCUUCAAUUCAGGAAGCCGCUGCUCACUGCUUGAAAUGUGUUGCUUGUCGAGGGGAAGGUAGAUUGGCUGUACUUAUUGGUGAAUCAGGUGCCAUCCCUUCUCUUUUGAGUUUAUUAUUGCAUGCUGAUGGGAGUUUGCGAAGGGUUUUAUUGAAAUGCCUUAGAAAUAGUGUCACGUUUGCUGCUCAUAACCGUGAGAUUGUAGUUAGACAUGGUGGGUUGGAAAUCAUUCUCAAUUUGUUGAAUACCUGCUCGGAUGAUCUAAAGCGAUACUUACUAGAAAUUCUCAGUGCAUUGGCUCUUCUGAGAGAAGUUAGGAGGACCAUUUUGACUUCCAGGGGUGUUAGUUUUCUUGUUGAAGCUGCUAGACGUGGCAGCAUGGUAUCUAGAUGUAGAGCGGCUCAGGCAAUUGGGUUGCUUGGAUUGGUCAAGAGAGCAAGGCGCACGCUUGUUGACUCGGGCACAUUUUCAGUGCUUCUAGAACUACUUCAGGUUGGGGAUACUUCAACUAAAGUCGUAGCUGCUAAUGCACUUGGUGUGAUCUCAUCUCAUGUUGAUUACAUUAGACCCCUUGCUAAUGCUGGAGCUAUUCCUCUUUACGCUGAUCUUAUGCAAGGAACUGAUCCCAUGGGUAAGGAGAUUGCAGAGGAUGUCUUCUGCAUUCUAGCAGUGGUAGAAGAGAAUGGUGUAGCAAUUGUUGAACACUUGGUUAGAAUCCUUAGAGGAGAUAGUACUGAAUCUAAAGCUGCUGCUGCUGAUGUAUUAUGGGAUCUCGCAGGUUACAAGCAUUUGCCAUCAGUUGUGCGAAAUUCAGGUGCAAUUCCUAUUCUAGUUCAGUUGUUGGAAGACGAAAAUAUUGAUGUCCGGGAGAAGGUUUCUGGAGCUAUCACUCAGUUGAGUUACAAUGAAGCUGAUAGAGCUGCUCUUGCAAAUUCUGGAGCUAUUCCACGAUUAGUAGAUAUGUUACAGGAUGAGUCGGAGGAAAUGAGAGACAAUGCUGCAGAAGCUCUUGUCAAUUUCUCAGAGGAUCCGUCGCUAGGUGAUAGAAUAUCAGAUGUGUUAAAUAGUCCUUCUUUCCAAAAUAUGCAAGAAAGACUGACGCAAAUUCGUGCUUCAGAUGCUUAUUUGGCUGCAUCUCUUAGACAUAUGAACACUGAGCAAUUAACUAUGGACCCUGCUGCUCUUAUCUGACUCCUUAUUCGUCUUGAAUGUUAGAGUUAUCUUUUUGAAAGCAUUUUAUGAUUCUUCCCUUCUUUGAAACUUGUUUGAAUGAUUCAAGCAAAAAGGGAAUAUAUAGUAUUGAUGUUGAAGUUAAAAAUAUCACACAAUGAGGAAUCAUCAUAAAAAUUUAAAGAAGCACAGUUCUCUGACUUCUUCUUCACUUGACUUCAUCGACAAGCUCCAGGCUGGCGUGGCCGACCUUCUUCCUCAAUAAACUGGUAAUACCUGCUGCAUCUACUGCUUCUCCUAUUAUCACUACUUUAUCUUUCUUCUCCCCUUCUAAUGCCACCGAGUUGACUCCUACAUAAAGCAAAGAGCAAAAUGUUAGGUGGGAAAGAAACAAGGUUAAUGUUGUAUGAAAUUCGCAGUACCAGUUGACAUAGCAGCAAUCAUCAAGGCUUUUGAUUGACAUUUCUUGCACUUAUGAUGUACUCUUAUGACAAUUUUUUGCUGCAGUAUUGCAUGAAAACUGUCUCAGCUUAACUAAAAUUGCAUAAUUGUUUAAAAAAGAAGAAAAAAAGAUGAACUUGUAUAGUUGUAGUAGAGUCUUACCAUCAUUGCUUAAGAGUAGAAGCAGAACUAAACUUUGGUUGUUGCUAGUUUCUCAAAGAAUUUGAUAAGUAAUGACAACGAAGCUUAUAUCAUAUGAGUAGUAUAUAUAGAAGCACACUAUAGGUACUCUGCCUUAGCAACACUUUGGACUUUGGAGAGAGAAUGUAAGAAAUGCUCACUCUGUUCACUUUUACUUGUUUAGUAUUUCAAAAAUAAAUUGCCACUUUUAAAAUGUCAAGAAAACUAUCCUUUUUUUUUUCUUCUAUAUGUAAUAUUAUACAUCAAUUAAUAUGAAUAUUGUGGUAAACUAUGCAUAUUAAUCAUUGUUUUUUAAGAGACGUACAAAAUCUGAAGUGGACAAGUAAAGGUAAAUAAAAUAAAUGAAACUGAAAAUUGGCUAUGAAGAUUUGGGCAUGUUCAGCUUUGCGUGUAUUGAAUUCACUUUGCAAGGACAGACUGUCUGGUGGACUUUGCCUUAUUAAUAACACAUAAUAAACCUUUCUGUUA